ACGGGAUCAGCCCUGAAGAUCCCACGGAGGCCAGGCGGCUCCGAUGGUCGGCCUCCCAAUAUGUGAUCACGGAUGGCCGACUCUACAAAAGGUCGUUCUCCCUUCCCUUGCUCAGGUGCUUGGAACCGACCGACGCAGAUUACGCACUCAGAGAAGUGCACGAAGGGAUCUGCGGGAGUCACUUGGGGGGCAAAUCCUU
rnacentral:lncRNA from 1 species